AUUUACUGGGUUCCUUGCCUUCUUUCACUUCUUGAAUGCAGUAAGUUUUUGGAGACCAUCUGUAUUGUUAUGAGUUCCUUCUAAGAUGGAUACCUUUCCUGGCCAGAGCUGGGGUUUUCUUCGAUGGCCUGGCUUGAUGGCUUCUUGAGGCUUCUGAUUUUGGUGCUUUUAUGGUCUCACUGUUUGGAGGUCCUUUUAUUCCUUCGUCUUCCAUUUACCCCAAUUCGUGUUGGCGACCGGGUCAUUGUUGAGAAGGUAAAGAUUCUUUCAGAAUUUAGUGUUUGUUUAUUGUUAUAAAUUAUAAUGUCUAGUUUGGUGAUUGAUCUAGAUUCUUGUUGGGUAUCUAAGUUUGUGAAGAACUGAAGAUCAUAGUUCAGAAAUAAUAAUCUUGAUGAAUAUCUUUUGCAUUUGUUAUCUAAUCUUCAGAACCUUUACCCUAAUUAUUUAACCCAGUAAAGAACUGCUUUUACAUUUUCAUUUCCUGUUUUGCUUAUUAGUGGUUUCUGACUUGAAAGAGGAGAAUUAAUAUUGAAAGAUUUAUAAUUUUGAAUAUUACUGCAGUAUCCACAGGUGAUAGCAAAAAAAAAAAAAUCCAUAUAAUCAAUUUUAGUUGGUUUGAGAUUAAGACUUCAUGCUCUUGUCUUUAGAUAUAUUCCCAUCUAUUUAUCAUGAUUUUCUUUUCUUUUUUCUGAAAGGGGUUUCCCUCUUUUUUUCCUGGCUUGCUAGUUAAUUACUGGAUUAUCUUGUCUUAAUCAUAAAUCAGGUUUCUGUAUGACGACGCUGAGCUCCAGUUCAGCUGCAUUUGGAAAGAUGCCUAAUUUACUUGUAAGAUGACUUUGAUUCUUUCCCUUCUAGGUCAGAUUGAUAUACUUUGCACUUAGAGCUUUUCCACCAUGCUUUAGUUCAGCUUAGUGUAAACCGCCUCUUCUGUGGUGAAUUUCAGUGAGGAGGCUGAAAUCCUUGUAUUAUUGACAGUCUACAGAAUGGCAAUCUUCACCAAACCUGUAGGUUAUAGAUUCCAACUCUCCAAUUUUUAGGUGCAUUUGGGCAAUGAAAUGAGUUCCUUAUGAAAUGCCAGUAAGAUUACAAGAGUCGUUGUUAAUCAUUUCAUUUAACGAUUAUCAAUGACUUCUUUUGAUGUCAUUCAUAAUUGAACUCCCUUUUGUAUGUAUAGUGAUUGUUUGAGGUUCUUGUUCUUUACUGGAGCUAUUGUCUAUUUCUCUAUUAUCAGAUGACUUCUGCUUAGGGGAGAGCAUAUCUUGAUUCAAACAGAGAAACUGAGAAACUCAAAAAAAUUUUCAAAAUGUCUUUAAAUACUUUAAACUCAAGAGAUUAUCAGGUUAUCUCUGAUGAGCUUGACAGCUUUUCAAAAUAGGUCGCGAAAAGAAAAAUCAAUUCUUGUUCUCUCUUAUCUUGCCAAAAGACUCAUUACACAAACCUAUAACUAGAUUCUACACACAGGAUCCUAACAAUUGGUAUCAGAGCUAGGGGUCAUAGGGGAUUAUAUCUCACAGCAAUUAUACUGAAUUCUCACCUUGUUCUUAGAAGAGCAAGCAGCCAAUAAGGCCUGGCACAAUGAAUUAAAUUCAAAAUUAGAAGCUCUCAUUUGUGACAUCGCCAAUUCAGCACAACCCACAGAAAUUGGUAGUCAUUCUCGCACCCAAAAGGCCAAAGGAGUAACAGGUUCUACAGGUUACGAAAAUUCAAGUAGUAGUAAAAUUGUUCCAAAAUUUACUAAACUUGAUUUCUCUGCAGCAGAUAUGAUUAUUUUUUUCAACAUCAAUAAACUUCAAAAGUGGAGAAGGUUAGUUUAUCUUCAUUUCACCUGGAGGGCAUAACACAACUAUGGUUCCAUGCAAUUGCUGCAAGACUAUCCGAAUUUAACAUGGGAAUAUUUCAAAAACCAGUGCAAAAAACUAUUCUGGCUGGAUUUAACAGAAGAUGACUUGGGAGAUGUCGCAAUGGACUAGCUACUAGUUGAAUAGUUCCUAGAAAUUUUCUGAGUUUGUGCUUGAGGACAAGCGCAUA
rnacentral:lncRNA from 1 species